GAAGACGGCCCGUCAACGUGGUUCCUCUAUACAGCACAUCCUGCAGCCCAUGGACUUCAGCCUCCAGCUGGCCAAAUGCAUGGUGGAGAAGGACACCAGGAUGCCCAGAUUCAAGGUGUCUGGAGAACUGCCUCUCCUCCAUGUGAAGAUCUCAGACCAGAAGAUCCAGGGAGUGUUGGACCUGGUCAACAGCAUCCCCCUGCCCCAGAGGGAUUCCACCCCUUCCACCCCUACCCAGAAGAUGCUGUGUUUGUCUGAGGCCAGGCCCGAUUAUAUUGG